rnacentral:misc_RNA from 1 species
CCGAGUUUACAACUCCCAAACCCCUGUGAACAUACCACUAUGUUGCCCUCGGCGGAUCAGCCCGCGCCCCGUAAAACGGGACGGCCCGCCGCAGGAAACCCUAAACUCUGUUUUUAGUGGAACUUCUGAGUAUAAAAAACAAAUAAAUCA